CCAAACUAAUAAAUUUCCGGCGUAAAGCGUGAUUAGAGAUAAACAAAAAUAAAAUCAAAUAAUAACUAAGCUGUAAAAAGUAAUAGUUAAAAACAAAAAUAAACAACGAAAGUGAUUUUACAACCUUCGAACUCACGAUAGCUAAGACCCAAACUGGGAUUAGAUACCCCACUAUGCUUAGCCCUAAACUUAAGUAUUUUCAUAACAAAAUUACUCGCCAGAGAACUACAAGCCAGAGCUUAAAACUCAAAGGACUUGGCGGUGCUUUAUACCCACCUAGAGGAGCCUGUUCUAUAAUCGAUAAACCCCGAUAAACCUUACCACUCUUUGCCAACUCAGCCUAUAUACCGCCAUCUUCAGCGAACCCUAAAAAGGAACAAAAGUAAGCUCAACUAUCCCCAUAAAAACGUUAGGUCAAGGUGUAGCCUAUAGAGUGGAAAGUAAUGGGCUACAUUUUCUUCUUCAGAAUAUACGGAAGCCCUUAUGAAAUUCUAAGGGCCAAAGGAGGAUUUAGUAGUAAAUUAAGAAUAGAGUGCUUAAUUGAACCAGGCCAUGAAGCACGCACACACCGCCCGUCGCCCUCCUCAAGUAUUAGAUUCUUUCUAUCCAUAAUUACAGANUAAAUUAAUAUGAGAGGAGAUAAGUCGUAACAAGGUAAGC
rnacentral:rRNA from 1 species